UUGGAAUAAAAUUAAGGGGUGGCAUAUAAAUAAAAAAGCUGGUGCAUUGACCACUCUGUUUCCACAGCUGCAAGAUGGAAACUCCAGGCUCUGUAAAGUGAAGGUGCAUUAGUGUAUUUUUAACACCCCAAUGUCAUUUGCUGGGGUGCACAAUUAGUGCUUUUUUCUCCACUAAUGGUAGUGUUAUCUUUCUCUCUGUGUAAUGUAAAAGGCUGGCCCUGUAACCCAGAAAGCUCAAAAUUGCCUUUUUCAAAGCAAAUGACUCCUGACUUGGCAUAGAAGGGGCACAGAGUGGCACGGCAGUCUAAUUUUCCAUCACCUAAUCAUUUUGCUUUACAAGCUUGUGACAUUUUAAUAAUCCUAGAAAGGGGCAAUUAAGCUGCUUAUUAUUAUUUUUUACUUGAGGAGUACAUAUUGCUGUUGUUACUUCAAUGUCCCUGUUCUCUGAUAUCACCACCUCCACUUGAUGUCCCUGGAUUGUAGAAGUGAGGGAUCAGUGUGUAUGAAGAAAGGGGAAAAAUUUGUAUCUGUUUAGUAAAUAUCUUUCGGUAUCAUUUGUAACUAUAUCUCAGCUUAUGGAAAGCCAUUGAAAUCCUUUCUUCUUUUUUAGUUGCUUUAGACAAUCUGGCAUGCUUUUCCAUUAAAUUCAGCCCAAGCCUACAAAUCUAGCAUGCUAACCUACUGUGAAAAAAAAGGUCAUGGGAAACCCAUGGGUAGAAACCAGUGUCUAGGAAUGCUCAUAUUGCUGUUGUUCUACAUGGGAGCACUUUCAAUGUUUGAUGUGUGCCAUCUGUGCCCAGAAGGAGGGGGAAAAACACAAGCUCUCCUAAGAAACAGAUGGCUCUGCACAUCCCAGCCUCUUCUACGUCCAACUGCUACAAAUUAAAAGUUUCAAAUGUGAUUUGGAAUGGAAAAGAUACAACAGGAAGCUGAUACAGCCUGACUUCAUUUUCUCACAUACUCUCCACCCAACUGCCACCGCUCUGCUGCCUCGAGAGUCUGCUGUAAAAUGUGGAGUCCAAGCCUGCCAUCUUCUGGGGGGAAACAACAAAGCUCAGAUGGGUCUGACAAAAAUGUCUUUUUUUGUCUCCUCCGUUCAUUCCUGCCUCCCACCAUCUGGUUCCUCUAUUCUGUCUUAGAAGAUUUAUGAGUAAGAUGUCAUUAAAAUACACCACUAAUCUG